GACGAACCGUGCGAACGUUAUUCGGAAUCACUGGGCUUAAAGCGCGUGUAGGCGGGCCGGCCCGUCGGUCGCUGAAAUCCCCCGGCUCAACCGGGGAACCGGCGCCGAGACGACCGGCCUGGAGGGACGUAGGGGGGCCUGGAACUUCCGGUGGAGCGGUGAAAUGCGUUGAGAUCGGAAGGAACGCCCGUGGCGAAGCGAGGCCCUGGACGUCUGCUGACGCUGAGACGCGAAAGCCAGGGGAGCGAACGGGG
rnacentral:rRNA from 1 species